UACGUAGGGCGCAAGCGUUGUCCGGAAUUAUUGGGCGUAAAGAGCUCGUAGGCGGUCUGUCGCGUCUGCCGUGAAAACCCGAGGCUUAACCUCGUGGCUUGCGGUGGAUACGGGCAGACUAGAGGUAGGUAGGGGAGAACGGAAUUCCUGGUGUAGCGGUGAAAUGCGCAGAGUAUCAGGAGGAACACCGGUGGCGAAGGCGGUUCUCUGGGCAUUACCUGACGCUGAGGAGCGAAAGCCAGGGGAGCAAACGGG
rnacentral:rRNA from 1 species